rnacentral:rRNA from 1 species
CCUACGGGCGGCAGCAGUGAGGAAUAUUGGUCAAUGGACGAGAGUCUGAACCAGCCAAGUAGCGUGAAGGAUGACUGCCCUAUGGGUUGUAAACUUCUUUUAUAUGGGAAUAAAAUGUUCCACGUGUGGGAUUUUGUAUGUACUAUAUGAAUAAGGAUCGGCUAACUCCGUGCCAGCAGCCGCGGUAAUACGGAGGAUCCGAGCGUUAUCCGGAUUUAUUGGGUUUAAAGGGAGCGUAGGUGGAUUGUUAAGUCAGUUGUGAAAGUUUGCGGCUCAACCGUAAAAUUGCAGUUGAUACUGGCAGUCUUGAGUACAGUAGAGGUGGGCGGAAUUCGUGGUGUAGCGGUGAAAUGCUUAGAUAUCACGAAGAACUCCGAUUGCGAAGGCAGUUCACUGGACUGCAACUGACACUGAGGCUCGAAAGUGUGGGUAUCAAACAGGAUUAGAUACCCCUGUAGUC